UGGCCCUCAGUCAUUCACUCAAGGUGACUGAUUGAAAACAGAGCUGUACAUGUGCAUAAUAAAACAACUCUUUCUGUGGAAGCCUGAACUUCUGAAGACUGGUGCUGUGAGCGAAAUCUAGACUGCAACAUGGCUUUUUUUUCCCAAGAAAAGCUGACCUGUUCCAUGCAUGCAGGGAAAGAGCCUGUAUCAAAAGCACUUGGUAAGAUUCUUUUUUUAUUAAAAAGCUCCAACUUUUCUUUCA